CGCACGUCUCGUCCGUCAACACGGAGAUGAAUCACAGAUUGGAGGAAUUUACUGGACUCGAGCGGAUGUUUGGGAUCGCUGGGAGGCCUUGUCUUCCUCUUAGUUUUCAUGCAUUUUGGUGAUAGACGUACCUGUAAAGGAAUCGGAAGCAGAAAGAGAGCGGAUGAGUGGAAAGUAUCGGAAAAACACCACAGAAGUCAGUGGUGGUGUGGACACGCCAGGAGCAGAUUUGGGAUAUUUGGAGAAAUGAUGGGGGAGAUUUGAUCAUUUGAGGACCUCAAACACCAGCCGUCCGAGCUCUCCCAUCGUGUGAUUGAGGAAACCAAAUCCUACUGUGCACCAAGGCGUAGAAGAAUCUCAUGUUGUCUUCCUCCGAAGACUGCCGCUUGUGUCUGGCCAGCGAGCUGGGGUUCAGGACCAAAGCCCUGAAAGACUGCAGGGCUUCCAAACAUCGACUCCCCCUCUGCAAAAUGUGGAUCAAAUGAACCUAAAGUAGCAGCGGCAGCAACGUCCUCCCUCCACUAUCAAAUGAGUGUCCAAGUUUUAAAAACAGAUACUCGUUUCUUCUCGGAGCCAGACAUGAAAUAUGUUCUCCGCUCCGUGUUGUCUGCUGUUUGUUUGACUCUGUCAGUGUUGUAAUGACAAAAAAGGACUUUUCUCCAGAGACUGAUAUACUUUUUAAAUACUUUUUUAGUAAAUACCAGAAGGUGUGCUGGGUCUAAAAAAGAACACUAUUCUUUGAAGAUGUGAAAUCAACACUUUUGUCACAUAACUGCCUGAAGCAUUCUUCGUCCAACACAACACAUUUGUGUUGGGAAAAGUCAAUGUAAUAGGCAACAGGUCUUUCAUUGUAAUCCACACCCAGGACCUUUGCUUCACACCAGAGGACCACCGCAAACAUUCCACGUGUGAUCUAUUUCCAUGUGAUAGCUUUCCUCUGGGUCAUCUGCUGCCUGCUUUUCCAUCCUCUUCAUUUGAUAUGUUUUAUGAUGUCAUUCACUUUGCUGUUGUUGAAAUGUGUAGCACAUUUUAAAAUGCCAUGCAGGACUGACUGGCCCCUCAAGACAAGCUGUGUCAACAUCUCAAAUAUAAACUCCAAAAU
ensembl:lncRNA